UUAAUUGUAUAUAGAUUAUAAAUCUACAGUAAAUGUUGGUCUAUACAAAACAAGAAUGUAUUGUACAUCAGCCCAAACUUUA